rnacentral:lncRNA from 1 species
GCGCAACCCUGCGUACGGGCACUGCCUGCUUCGCCCCACAGAGCUGGGGCAGCCGCAGCAUCACAGCUGCAGGCACUGACGUGGCUCAGUGGUUUUGGAGAGGAAGAUAAGAAAACCACCAGCGUUUGCUAUUGUGCUGGCAGUGUGAGGAGAAAGAGAGAGCUCUUGUGGCUGAGGCACUGCUGGGCAGUCCAGGGGCUGCCCCUUUGGGGUCCGGGGCAGUGCAAGGGCAGCACGGGGGGGUCCCCAUGUCUUCCUGCCAGCCCCAGAGGGAGGUGGGGGGGCUCAGGGCUUCCUGCAGAGCCAAACCCGGUGGUCCCCAGUGGGGGGACAAGCCCUGAGCAGGACUUCCUUCACUGGAGCACAGCACGGUGGGUGAGAUGGGAUGGGGGGGUAAGGCUCUGGAUACAAGAGGUCUCAGUUGCGUCUCCUGCCCCCAGGCCAGCGGCUGCACUGCGGAGGGAAGAAGAAGAGGAGAGCCGCAAUGCCACUGUGGACGCAGAGCUUCUUCCAAAGCAGGAAAGUCCUUGCCAAGGGCCACUCCUUACCCCGCUCCAGUGGAUCCAUUACCCUGCUCACCCCGGAUGGGACCAGAACGCAAAUUGCCCUCGUGCUUUCCCCUCUGUUAGAUCCAGCGAGUUUCUUGGCUAAUAAAGUUCAAGCUGAGCGAGGUUAAACUUUGUGCCUGCGGCAUCUGAAUGGGCCACUCUCCUGGCCCCGCACCAGUGACUUUUCUGCCCUGCGGACAUCUUCCAACACAGUCCCAGGAACUGUUUCUGCCGGCCCUUGCACACACGUGGAGCAUGGAGCAGCUGCUGACUCUGCUCUGGGUUUGCUCCUGGGCCUGUGGAGGGAGGGACAUUCCUGCUUCCAGCCAUCCCGGCUGCUCUGAAGGAACUCCCCUCUCGGCAGCAUGUGCGCUGGCUGUGGAUGCCUGAAUCCCGUGACGUGUGCUUCCCUUGGGAUGCUCAGGGUGGACUGUGCAGGAUGCAGGCAAUGUCAGAUGCAGAAGCAGGCGUGUAUGGGGCUGCUUGUGCGUUUUUGUUUUCUUGGAAUGCGUGAUCCUGGUGCCCUUCAUGGGCAAGAAUAGGGCUGGGAUGGUGCAUCCAGCCUGGGUUCCUGCUGCAGGAGGAUGUGGUGUCACAGCCUUCUGCAAGCCCGGCCACCCUGGCGCUGCUGGUGGAGUUGAAGCCAGCUUGCCUGGUCCAUUUGGGCUUCGACUGAGGUCUGACAUUGACCGUAAAACAGGAUUAACUGGGGGGAGGUUAUUAGACCAAAUCUGUGCAAUUUGUCUAAUCUGAGGUGCUUAUUUAACACCCUAAGGAGAUUAUUUUGAAAUAUAAUUUUGACUUGACACUGACCCA